rnacentral:tRNA from 1 species
GCCUAGUUAGCUUUGAAGGUAGCGCACCCGCCUUGUAAGCGCUAGGUCGCGGGUUCGGUUCCCGCCCAGGGCG